rnacentral:rRNA from 1 species
UAGCUAAUACCGCAUGAGCCUAAGGGUAAAAGAUUAAUUGUCUGUAGAUGAGCUCGCGUCCGAUUAGGUAGUUGGUGGAGUAACGGUUUACCAAGCCAAUGAUCGGUAGCUGGUCUGAGAGGAUGACCAGUCACACUGGAACUGAGAGACGGUCCAGACUCCUACGGGAGGCAGUAGUAAGAAGUUUACAAUGGGCGAAAGCCU